UUUUUAAUAUGAUGAUAUUUCCAUGCACCACUCUGAAGCUUUCAAAAGCGUCGUGCAGAUUAUGGAUUUCUGAACAUUG